GAAUUGUUCGCAAUGGGCGAAAGCCUGACGACGCAACGCCGCGUGGAGGAUGAAGAAUUUCGGUUCGUAAACUCCUUUCGACCGAGAUGAAUACUCACGGACCUAACACGUCCGUGGGCUGACAGUAUCGGGAGAAGAAGCCCCGGCUAACUCUGUGCCAGCAGCCGCGGUAAUACAGGGGGGGCAAGCGUUGUUCGGACUUACUGGGCGUAAAGGGUUCGUAGGUGGCCACUUAAGUCAGGAGUGAAAUCCCUCAGCUCAACUGGGGAACUGCUUCUGAAACUGGGUGGCUUGAGUGCAGGAGAGGAAUGCGGAAUUCCAGGUGUAGCGGUGAAAUGCGUAGAUAUCUGGAGGAACACCGGUGGCGAAGGCGGCAUUCUGGACUGUUACUGACACUGAGGAACGAAAGCCAGGGGAGCAAACGGG
rnacentral:rRNA from 1 species